rnacentral:rRNA from 1 species
UGAGGAAUAUUGCGCAAUGGGCGAAAGCCUGACGCAGCGACGCCGCGUGGAGGAUGAAGGCUUUCGGGUCGUAAACUCCUGUCAAGUGGGAAGAAAUGCUGAGCUCUAACAUAGUUCAGAGAUGACGGUACCACUAGAGGAAGCACCGGCUAACUUCGUGCCAGCAGCCGCGGUAAUACGAGGGGUGCUAGCGUUAUUCGGAUUUACUGGGCGUAAAGGGUGCGUAGACGGUACAUUAAGUUUGUUGUUUAAUCUUCCGGCUUAACCGGAAAAAUGCGGUGAAUACUGAUGUACUAGAGAAUGGAAGAGAGGAGUGGAAUUCCCGGAGUAGCGGUAAAAUGCGUAGAUCUCGGGAGGAACACCAAUGGCGAAGGCAGCUCCUUGGUCCAAUUCUGACGUUGAGGCACGAAAGCGUGGGGAGCAAACAGGAUUAGAUACCCGUGUAGUCC